AGCGAACGCUGGCGGCAGGCCUAACACAUGCAAGUCGAGCGGCCGUAGCAAUACGGCAGCGGCAGACGGGAGAGUAACACGUGGGAACGCGCCCUUCGGUUCGGGAUAACUCAGGGAAACUUGGGCUAGUACCGGAUACGCCCUUACGGGGAAAGAUUUAUUGCCGAAGGAACGGCCCGCGUCCGAUUAGCUAGUUGGUGAGGUAACGGCUCACCAAGGCGACGAUCGGUAGCUGGUCUGAGAGGAUGACCUGCCUCACUGGGACUGAGACACGGCCCAGACUCCUACGGGAGGCAGCAGUGGGGAAUAUUGGACAAUGGGCGCAAGCCUGAUCCAGCCAUGCCGCGUGGGUGAUGAAGGCCCUAGGGUUGUAAAGCCCUUUCAGCGGGGAAGAUAAUGACGGUACCCGCAGAAGAAGCCCCGGCUAACUUCGUGCCAGCCGCCGCCGUAAUAC
rnacentral:rRNA from 1 species